rnacentral:ncRNA from 1 species
AAAGGUUAUCCGGGGUGCCUGUAAGGGCUGAGAUCAUACCCGCUGAACCUGGACCGGGUAAUGCCGGUUAGGGAGCGCAGUUUAAGUCAAAA